rnacentral:rRNA from 1 species
CCUACGGGGUGCAGCAGUGAGGAAUAUUGGUCAAUGGGCGAGAGCCUGAACCAGCCAAGUCGCGUGAAGGAUGAAGGAUCUAUGGUUUGUAAACUUCUUUUAUAUGGGAAUAAAGUGUGGGACGUGUCCUGUUUUGUAUGUACCUUAUGAAUAAGGAUCGGCUAACUCCGUGCCAGCAGCCGCGGUAAUACGGAGGAUCCGAGCGUUAUCCGGAUUUAUUGGGUUUAAAGGGUGCGUAGGCGGCCUUUUAAGUCAGCGGUGAAAGUCUGUGGCUCAACCAUAGAAUUGCCGUUGAAACUGGGAGGCUUGAGUAUGUUUGAGGCAGGCGGAAUGCGUGGUGUAGCGGUGAAAUGCUUAGAUAUCACGCAGAACCCCGAUUGCGAAGGCAGCCUGCCAAGCCAUGACUGACGCUGAUGCACGAAAGCGUGGGGAUCAAACAGGAUUAGAUACCCGUGUAGUC